CCGGGCCGGGAGCAGGGCCAUGCCGUACCUGGGCGGCGAGGAGGCGGUGCGGGAGCUUCGCCGGGCCCUGGCCAACCCGCACGUGCAGGCAGACCGGCUGCGGUACCGCGCCGCCGUCCUGCGCGUCAUCCGGCACAUGGCGCAGGGCGCGGAUGUGUCGGGGCUGUUCCCGGAGAUGGUGAAGGCCGGCGCGGCGGCCGACGUGGUGCAGAAGAAGCUGGUCUCGCUGUACGUGCGGGCGCAGGCCCCGCGGCAGCCCCAGCUGGCCCUGCUGGCCGUCAACUCGCUGCGCAAGGACUGCGCCCACCCCAGCCCCGCCGUGCGCGGGCUCGCCCUGCGCAGCAUGUGCGGCCUCAGGAUGCCCGGCAUUCAGGAGUACCUGCAGCAGCCCCUGCUCAGCGGCCUGCGGGACAAGGCCUCCUACGUCCGGAGAGCGGCCGUGCUGGGCUGCGCCAAGAUGGUGAAGCUGCAGGGGGACUGCGAAGUGGAUGGUGCGUUGGUGAAUGAGCUGUACAGUUUGCUUCGUGACCAGGAUCCUAUUGUAGUCGUCAAUUGUCUGAGGGCCUUAGAGGAGAUCCUAAAGAAGGAGGGAGGGGUUGUCAUCAACAAACCCAUUGCCCAUCAUCUCCUCAACAGGAUGUCUGACCUGGAUGUGUGGGGGCAAAGCGAGGUGCUCACCUUCCUGCUGCGCUACAGGCCCCGCAGCGAGGAGGAGCUCUUCGACAUCCUCAACCUCCUGGAUGGCUACCUCAAAAGCAGCAGCCCCAGCGUUGUGAUGGCAGCCACCAAGCUGUUCUUGGUGCUGGCCAGAGAGUACCCACAUGUGCAGGCAGAUGUUCUGGUGAGAGUGAAGGGGCCGCUGCUGUCUGCCUGCACUUCGGAGAGCAGGGAGCUCUGCUUCACUGCACUGUGCCACGUGCGUCAGAUCCUCGGCAGCCUCCCUGGCCAUUUUAGCAGCCACUACAAAAAGUUCUUCUGUUCGUAUUCAGAGCCCCACUACAUCAAAUGCCAGAAGAUGGAGGUGUUGUGUGAGCUGGUGAAUGAUGAGAACGUGCAGCAGGUGCUGGAGGAGCUGAAGGGCUAUUGCACUGAUGUGUCCCUAGAGCUUGCCCAAGGGGCCAUCUUCGCCAUAGGCAAUAUUGCUAGAACAUACACUGAACAGUGUGUGGGGAUUCUAACAGAGCUCCUGGGGCUUCAGCAGGAACACAUCACUUCAGCGGUGGUGCAGGCUUUCCGGGACCUGGUCUGGCUGUGUCCCCAGUGCACAGACGCCGUGUGCCGGGCACUGCCUGGCUGUGAGGACACCCUCCAGGACAGUGAGGGCAAGCAAGCACUGAUCUGGCUCCUGGGCACGCAUGGUGAGAAGGUUCCGAAUGCCCCCUACGUUUUAGAGGACUUUGUGGAGAACGUGAAGUCGGAGAUGUUUCCAGCAGUGAAGAUGGAGCUUCUGACAGCUUUGCUGCGACUUUUCCUGUCGCGUCCCGCUGAGUGUCAGGACAUGCUGGGGAGACUGCUCUACUACUGCAUCGAGGAGGAGAUGGAUAUGGCAGUACGAGACCGUGGAUUGUUCUACUAUCGCCUUUUGCAGUCUGGUGUGGAAGAAGUGAAACGGGUCCUGUGCAGCCCCAAGUCUGACCCCUCUCUGGGGCUCCUGGAAGACCAGGCUGAGCGGCCUGUGAAUACAUGGGCUUCAGAGUUUAAUACUCUUGCUCCAGUUUAUGGCAAGGAACGCUGGGCACUUGUCACUGCUCACCAGCCAGCAGAACCUUCUUAUGCUUUUUCACCUUGUGCUGACUCCAGGAGCAGAGAAACAGAGUCACUAAUUUCUGAAGGGAAUACUGAAGUCCUCAAAGUUCAUCCUGAUACAAGCAGUCUCACCUUAAUUCCUGAUGUUUACCUGACUGCAGAACAGUUUGAGAAGACCUGGCUGAGCUUGGACAUGAGCUGCCACCUGUCUCUGCCCUGGUGUGGGACUGUUCAUCCAGAUACCAUACAGACGGCUCUUCACGUUGUCCACAUUCAGACUAUUGCAAUGAGCAGAGCUGGUGUCCAGCCAUGGAAAGCUUACCUCAGUGCUCAGGAUGGCACAGGUUGCCUGUUCCUGACAGAGCUCUUGCUCCAGGCAGCAGGUUCAGAGAUGCAGGUUGUGGUGAAGCAGAGCGAGGCGAAGCCAGAGGCACUGCAGGCCUUCACCUCCAUGUUAAGGACAAUUAUGGGGACACUUGCUGGGCUGGGGUCCUGAUUGUUCCCUGCUCCCAGUGGGAUGCUUGCUCUGGGCACAGCAAAAGUUUGUUUUUCUGGCUUCAUUUGCUAUAUCUGAUGCUGGUUUUGUGCUUUUAAGCUGCAGGAGUGUUAGCAGCCCUUUCCUGGGCCUGCCAAGCAUGGGUGGUGUGGGGGCAGCUGCAGCUGGUGGAUGGGGCAGGGCAGGUGGUCUGUCCUGCUACUGGGUUGGGGAAAUGACAAGGUAAACAUUUGUGAGUCUGCUGUUUCAGGCAUGAGUCACAGAAGUGGUGGCACCUCUGGUGAUUGUCACAAGACACCGAUGUGACGGAUGGAACCAGAAACGAACAAAAUUCAGGAUGUGUUUUGGAGAGGGUUUUUUAUGAGAAUGGUAAAUAAUUAAAAAAACAAUUCAGUGACUCCAAGAAUCUGUUACUUAUAUCAGGCUCAGAGGAGCAGUGCAGUGUAGAGAAGUGUUUUGUUCCUUGCUCUCUUGAGGUGUGGUUUGCCUUUGUCUGAUGGAUGGAUUUUGACAGGAGCUUCACUUACGGGUGAACGGAGCUCGGCUGUGUCAGAGUAAAAAUGUGAAUAAUUCCUGGCUGUUUUCUGGAGUACUUGUUUGUUCAACUCUGAAGUCUGUGGGAUGGAGUCAUCCAGUCUCUGCUGUGGAUCCAGAGAGAACCUCAGUCCAGCUCCUGCCUCUGAGUCAGAGGGGGCUUUUCUCUCUCAACUUCUGGUAGGCUUUAAGGCCAAUUGUGGAACAAUUUAUUUCAGCCUCAUAUGCCACGUUACUGUAACAGAAAUGGCCUACUGUGAAAAUAAACCACACCCAUAACCUGAACGAGGGCAGUUGGGAGAACAGUACUGGCAUGUUGAGCUGUCCUGGG